UAGACUUGACAUCCCGAGCGAAGCUAUAGAGAUAUAGUGGAGGUUAUCUCGGUGACAGGUGGUGCAUGGUUGUCGUCAGCUCGUGUCGUGAGAUGUUGGGUUAAGUCCCGCAACGAGCGCAACCCCUAUCAUUAGUUGCUAACAUUUAGUUGAGGACUUUAAUGAGACUGCUUACGCAAGUAAGAGGAAGGUGGGGACGACGUCAAAUCAUCAUGCCCCUUAUGUCUAGGGCUACACACGUGAUACAAUGGCUGGUACAAAGGGUUGCGAACUCGCGAGAGUAAGCCAAUCCCAUAAAGCUAGUCUAAGUUCGGAUUGGAGUCUGCAACUCGACUCCAUGAAGUUGGAAUCACUAGUAAUCGUGGAUCAGAAUGCCACGGUGAAUACGUUCUCGGUUCU
rnacentral:rRNA from 1 species